rnacentral:rRNA from 1 species
UGCGUCUGAAGGUACCUCCAAAGGAAGCUCCGGCUAACUCCGUGCCAGCAGCCGCGGUAAUACGGAGGGAGCAAACGUUGUUCGGAUUUACUGGGUGUAAAGGGUGCGUAGGCGGCUACGUGUGUCAGAGGUGAAAGCUCACGGCUCAACCGUGGAACUGCCUUUGAAACUGCGUAGCUUGAGUCCGAGAGAGGAUGGUGGAAUUCCUGGUGUAACGGUGAAAUGUGCAGAUAUCAGGAAGAACACCGGUGGCGAAGGCGGCCAUCUGGCUCGGUACUGACGCUGAGGCACGAAAGCUAGGGUAUCGAACGGGAUUAGAUACCCCGGUAGUCCUAGCCGUAAACGAUGUCCACUAGGUGUCGGAGGUCCUACCCCUUCGGUGCCGGAGCUAACGCAUUAAGUGGACCACCUGGGGAGUACGCUCGCAAGGGUGAAACUCAAAGGAAUUGACGGGGGCCCGCACAAGCGGUGGAGCAUGUGGUUUAAUUCGAUGCAACGCGAAGAACCUUACCUGGGCUUGACAUGCAGGGGACAGGUGUAGAGAUAUACCCCUCUUCGGACUCCUGUACAGGUGCUGCAUGGCUGUCGUCAGCUCGUGUCGUGAAAUGUUGGGUUAAGUCCCGCAACGAGCACAACCCUUGUCCUUAGUUGCCAGCACGUCAUGGUGGGAACUCUAGGGAGACUGCCGGUGACAAACCGGAGGAAGGUGGGGACGACGUCAAGUCAUCAUGGCCCUUACGUCCAGGGCUACACACGUGCUACAAUGGCACAUACAGAGGGCAGCGAACCCGCGAGGGGAAGCCAAUCCCAAAAAGUGUGCCUCAGUUCGGAUCGCAGUCUGCAACUCGACUGCGUGAAGUCGGAAUCGCUAGUAAUCGCG